GUCAGUAUUGUGAGGAGCUGCCCAUGAGAAAUCACCUAGAAGGCUGGUAAGAAGAAACACAAGCACUGGGCAUCUCCUUUGGAAGGGAAACUCAACACCUGGGCAGUGAUGUGAAAGCUGUGCUCAGGGUGGAAGCCAGUAAGACCACAGGCAGCAGAAGAGGAAUUGGCUUGGAGGCAUCUUCUACAGUUGUACUGCAAGCAGGGCUGCUGUUGUACCAGGUACCAUACACUGCAGAA